AUCCAACUGACGAGUCCCGAAUAAGACGAAACGCAUGUCCUGCAU
rnacentral:hammerhead_ribozyme from 1 species